ACUAGUUAGCACAUGGUACAAUGACUUGAAGUUGUGAUUACAUAUGAAUAUUAUUCGCUGUACUUAUAUAGCUGCAUUUUGUUCAAAGUAACAAUUUGUAGAAAGUAGCACUCUGUGACUGUGUUUAGGCUAACAUUUUAAUCGAAGGCAUCGAGAAGAUUUCCAUCAUUCCUCUGUUAUCAUUUGUUACAGUAGUAUAAGGAUGAAUAAAAAUAUGCAGAACGUAGAUGUACAAUGGAAUCAAAGAAGCUCGAAAAAAAGAAAAAAUGACGUUCUUAGUGCUAUAGAAGUCCCGAAUAAAGCCACAUUGAUUUUUGAUACAACUAAAAUCCCUGGUAAAAUGUUGAAAAAAAGUACAAAAAUACCACGAUCGGACCAUGACAUGAAAUAUGUAAGCGAGUAUCUAUGCAAUCUGAAUCAAGUUUUAGGUAACCGGAAUAUGCAGAACGUAGAUGUACAAUGCAGUCAGAGAAGCUCGAGAAAAAGAAAAAAUGAAGAUGCUAGUGAGAGAGUCGCGAAAAAAAUCAGAUCGAUUAUUGAUAAUAUUGAUAGAACUAAAAACGAAACAGCACAAUCGGUAUUGCAAAUGGAAUUUUUAGCGAGUCAGCUCCAAUAUCUUCGAGAAAUGGAUAAAAAGUUGCUCGCCAAAAUAAAGACAGGGAUAGGAGCAAAAAAGGACUACUAUUUAAAGCAUCGACGUUCAAUUUUAGAAAGUCCUUAUUGGAGAAAUGAUCAAAAGUUGUUAAAACAAAAUGAAAUCGGCCUUGAAUUCGUAACACGACUUUACAAUUAUCUAGAGAAAGUAGAGGUGGAAGGUAAAGGCGCAGACUUUCCAAAUUUUUUCGAUUUACCAAUAGAUGAUUUCAGAAAAAUUUUUGUUUAAAACUUUUUUUUAAAACACAUUUAAAAUGUGUUUUAAACACAAAUUCAUUUGUUUCGAAUUCAGUCUUUCAAAUAUCCGUCAUCCAGUGAUCAAUUUUCAAGAUGUGACGUCAUAAAAUAGCUAUUAGGUUUCAGAAAUAUUAAAAAAUUGAAAUCAAAAUACAAAAUUAAUUUGUCUUUAAAAAAAGUACAGGAAGAAAAUGAAAAUCUAAAAAUACAGUUCAUUCAAUUCCACUUCUUUUUCAACGAGAAACUGAAAAAAAGUGUUUUUUUUUUUUUUGGAAGUUAAGAGUUGAAAAAAAAACCUCUGUCGCAAAGAUUAAAAAAUCCAAUAAAUAAAUUGCACUUCUCUCCAAAAUUGAACUCAAAAUUGACUAUCUAAAAGCAUGUUUUUUGUAUUAUAUUGCCAUGAAAUUUCUGCACUCCUCCCAACCCAAAAAUAAAUUCACCACAAAUUGUUACUGAAAUUUAUGAAUUGAAAACAAAGUCGUUAAUAAGUAAUAACAAUUUUUUUGAUAAUGUAUUAGUUGUUAAGAUGCUAAAAAAAUUGUUCCACAAUAAAAUAUGUUUGC